CAACCUCAGAUCAGACGUGGUGACCUGCAGGAUUUAAGCAUAUUACUAAGCGGAGGAAAAGAAACUAACCAGGAUUCCCUCGGUAACAGUGAGUGAAGAGGGAAUAGCCUAGCUCUGAAUCCCCGACCGGGUGACAGGGGUAGGGAAAUGUAGCGAACGAAGUCUGUCUCCCCGGCACCGCCCAGGGUGCCCAAGUUCUUGUGAUCGAGGCUCAGCCCGUGGACGGUCUGAAGCCGGAGGUGGCCCCCGGUGUGUCGGUAUCAGGUCUUCCUAGAUUCAGGUUGUUUGUGAAUGCAGCCCAAAGUGGGUGGUAAACUCCAUCUAAGGCUAAACAUGGGCAAGAGGCCGAUAGCGAACAAGUACCCUAAGCGAAAGUUGAAAAGAACUUUGAAGAGAGAGUUCAAGAGGGCAUGAAACCGUUCAGAGGUAAAUGGGUGGGGUCCGUGUGGUCCGCACAGAGGAUUCUACAUGGCGGCCGUGCUGGCUGCACGAGUGAGGCAGAUCCCCUCCAGGGAGUGGGGGACUGUCCCCUAGCAUGCUGGCCACCAUUGGGUUCAUUUCCUCUGUGGUUGUGUGCCAUUGGCUGAGAAGGCAGUGCUGAAGGCGGCUCCCCUCAUCAUAGGGGAGUGUUACAGCCUGCAGCAUCAGCCCUCGCCGUGCCCAGUGAUGGGGGCCCCAGCUCCCGGUGGGACUGUCAACUGGGCCGGACUGCCCUUAGUGCAGCCCAACUGCAUCCUGCCGCCAUGCCGGUGGCCUCACCUCGGGUGCCCGGGGUCUGCAGUGAUGUCAGUGACCCACCUGUCCCAUCUUGAAACAUGGACCAAGGAGUCUAACAGGUGCGCAAGUCCAAGUGUGGGCAGGAGACCCCCAUGGUGCAAUGAAAGUGAGGGCCGGUGAGCACCGGCUAAGGGGGGAUUCCCCCCACCACCACCUGGGGGGUGCACCGCUGGCCUAUCUCACCCAUACCAUUGGGGAGGUGGAGCGUGAGCACAUCUGUUGGGACCCAAAAGAUGGUGAAAUAUGCCUGGGCAGGGUCAAGCCAGAGGAAACUCUGGUGGAUGUCCGUAGUGGUCCUAAUGUGCAAAUCGGUCAUCCGACCUGGGUAUAGGGAUGAAACACUAAUCGAACCAUCUAGUAGAUGGUUCCCUCUGAAGUUUCCCUCAGGAUAGCCGGCACUCGGCGGAUGCAGUUUUAUCUGGUAAAGUGAAUGAUUAGAGGUCUUAGGGCUGAAAUGAUCUCAACCUAUUCUCAAACAUUAAAUGGAUAAGAAACCCGACUCGCUGGCUUGGAGCCGGGUGUGGAAUGUGAGCGCCCAAUGGGCCACUUUUGGUAUGCAGAACUGGGGCUGCAGGAUGAACCGAAUGCCGGGUUAAGGCGCCCAAUGCCGAUGCUCAUCAGACCCCAGAAAAGGUGUGGAAGUCAGAAUCCGCUAAGGAGUGUGUAACAACUCACCUGGUGAAUCAACUAGCCCUGAAAAUGGAUGGCGCUGGAGCAUCGGGCCCAUACCUGGCCGUCACUGGUGCUGGGAGAUGAGGGGGGCUAUGCCACUAUGAGUAGGAGGGCCACUGCGGUGGCACUGAAGCCCAGGGCUAGGGCCCAGGUGGAGCCUCCAUGGGUGCAGAUCUUGGUGGUAGUAGCAAAUAUUCAAACGGGAGCUUUGAAGGCCGAAGUGGAGAAGCACUGAAUAGCAGUUGAACAUGGGUCAGUCAGUCCUGAGAGAUAGGUGAGCUCUGUUCUGAAGGGAUGGGCGAUAGCCUCCAUCGCCCUUAACUGAUUGAAAGGAAGUCAGGUUCAGAUCCCCGAAUCCGCAGUGGCAGAGAUGGGUGCCUCGCUGUGUCCAGUGUGGUGAAGCAAAUGAUCCCAGAGAAGCUGGCAGGGGCCCCUGGGAGAGUUCUCUUUUCUAUGUAAAGGGCAAGGGUGCCCAGGAAUGGGUUCUUCCAGAGAGAUGGGCCCGCGACCUGGAAAGCAUCUCUGUUCUGUCAGCGUCAGGUGACCUCUCACCAGCCCUUGAAAAUCCGGGGGUGAGGGUUUGUGUCUCACGCCGUGCCAUACCCAUAUCUGCAGCAGGUCUCCAAGGUGAAAAGCCUCUGGCAUGUUAGAACAAUGUAGGUAAGGGAAGUCGGCAAGUCAGAUCCCUAACUUUGGGAUAAGGAUUGGCUCUAAGGGCUGGGUUGGUCAGGGUUGGGCAUGAAUAUCGCUGGGAGAGCACCACGGCUGGACAAGGCAUCACCCCCUUGCUGUGCUCCCCCCUCGGGGUGGGACGGGGGGGACAUCGGCGGUGACUCUGAAAGGGCACUGGGCCCUUCCUGUGGAUCGCCCCAGCUGGGGCAGGUGCCAGAACCGAUUGGCAUUCUACAUAAUUUCACAGCUAGCAGCUGACUUAGAACUGGUGUGGACCAGAGGAAUUCCACUGUUUAAUUAAAACAAAGCAUCACAAUGGCCCAAGACGGGUGUAGACACUAUAUGAUUUCUGUCCAGUGCUCUGAAUGUCAAAGUGAAG